AAGUCGUAACAAGGUUUCCGUAGGUGAACCUGCGGAAGGAUCAUUACUGAAAGAAACUAUUUUAGUUUUUUUUCAUCCAUCUCCCUUUGUUAAUUGAAUCCAUAUUUUUUCUUCCACCAGACAGUGUUCCCUUUUUUUUUUUUUUCUAAAAAGGAAACCCUCGGGCUUGAGUAGAUUUUUCCCUCUAUUCUUGUCAGGGAGUGCUGGUGGUAAGACUCCUCUUUCCAAAACUUUUGUUAUAAACAAAUUGUCUGACAAAAACUUUCUUAAAUGAAAUAAAACUUUCAACAACGGAUCUCUAGGCUCUU
rnacentral:misc_RNA from 1 species